CUGCCUCAUCGGUGGUCGGUGGACCUGGUCAGGUGACGCAUAACUGGCUCUUAAAGGGAAGCGGGCGUCACGCUCUCAAACGCCUUUAAGGGGUCUGUGCGGGUUCACGGUUCAUCUCUCUGCAUUCUGCUAACACAGAGAUAUUUUUCUGAAACUAUCUUUCAUGUGUCAGACGGCCCAGAGGAAAGACAUCAUGGAUUGUGGCAAAGUGGAGUGAAUGCAGGUGACAGAGACGGUCCCUGUGACUUAUAAACAGAGUCUGCAGGAACAGUACUGGAAAGUGGCAUUCACUUUUGAUCUGAUCGACCCGUUUCCUCACUUUCUGCUGAUGCAGUUGCUUCAGAGGGUCGACUGGGGUCAUGUGUCUCUUUACUCCUGUCCUUCAGUUCCUGAAAUAUUCUACUAUAA